rnacentral:rRNA from 1 species
AUUGAACGCUGGCGGCAGGCCUAACACAUGCAAGUCGAGCGGAUGAAGGGAGCUUGCUCCUGGAUUCAGCGGCGGACGGGUGAGUAAUGCCUAGGAAUCUGCCUGGUAGUGGGGGAUAACGUCCGGAAACGGGCGCUAAUACCGCAUACGUCCUGAGGGAGAAAGUGGGGGAUCUUCGGACCUCACGCUGUCAGAUGAGCCUAGGUCGGAUUAGCUAGUUGGUGGGGUAAAGGCCUACCAAGGCGACGAUCCGUAACUGGUCUGAGAGGAUGAUCAGUCACACUGGAACUGGGACACGGUCAAGGCUCCUACGGGAGGGAGCAGUGGGGAAUAUUGGGCAAUGGGCGAAAGCCUGAUCCAGUCAUGCCGCGUGUGUGAAGGAGGUCUUCGGAUUGUAAAGCACUUUAAGUUGGGAGGAAGGGCAUUAAGUUAAUACCUUGCUGUUUUGACGUUACCAACAGAAUAAGCACCGGCUAACUUCGUG